AUUAAUUGUGGAACUACUCUCUUGUGUGAUGUGAGGGCAUGUGAUUCACGAAGGAAAGGUAAGUCUUGACUUCUGUAUAGAGUAGUUUGAGUAGCUGCGAAUAUUUCUUGGCAUGAGAGACUCGACUUUUGAGGCAAAGGUUGUUCACUACUAGGGAAAACUUUUGGUAAAUUGUUCAUGGUGUAAUUCGUUAAGGGGAAAGCUUAGGGAAGAAACUUUGAUAGAGUGUGGUGGAUUCCUCGACGACUAGCAAUAAUUUAAGUGUG
rnacentral:lncRNA from 1 species